ensembl:lncRNA
UCUUGGUGGAGAUCCCUGUCUACCUGAGGUCUUCUAAGGUUCUAAGAGACAAUUGGAAGAAGUGUUAACAAAACCAAGAUGGAUUGUAUUAAUCAGUGGCAAAGGAAGAGGUAUACUUCUUUCAUUACUAAGGAGGUGGGCUUCUCUUACUGAGAACUGCACUACUUUGGUUAUACCCUUUAAACCCAGAAAACAUAGAAGGAGGCAGUGAACAGCUGCGGUUCCUUGAAGAAGAAAUCUCAGCACCAAAGAGAUUGUACCUAAUACAUCUGUGGAAGUGACUGCACUUGUCUGAGGUUUACUCUGACAUAUAUUUUUGUGGCCAAUUCUCUAUGCUCCCAGGUUGCAGGGAACUAUGACUGUCACAAGCCCUUCUCAGCUGCGAAGAGGAAAACGUCUAUGGUGGUGGAAAACUCCUUACUUCGUGGGUUGUUCUAUGAUGUUCUGCUGGAAAAAGUAGCUGAAGCAGGGAAGGGAGAGAUUGCCAUUGUGAUACCUCCAGAUAUCCGGAGAACAAUGGAAAGAAUGCUAUCUUCAACAACUGCACUUUUGGUUCUCUUUGAUGUACAUUCAAAGUCUUCAGCAGUACAUCAUACCACUUAUAAAAGCAAUAUUUUGAAAUAUACUGGAUUUAGUAUAGGCUCUAGAUUGGGAAGCUCUUGAAUCCUAGGAACUUCUGGCUCUGACAAAAAGAGUAACUUGUGAUCUCUCUAUGAGUACUUGUUUGGUCCUCCUGGUAAUAGAGAUCAUGCUUGUCAAUAUGGUUCUAUUUGCUUACAGCUUGCCUCAUGUUUUCUGUUGAUUGUUUUGUGUUGGGGCUAGAAAAUAAUGCCUCAUUCCUUAAAUUGCUGACUGUAAUAGGAUUUUACUAGAACAAGUGAGUAAAUAGCUUCUCAACUUGCAUACAGUGGUUGCUAAAGGCUGGUUAAGCUUCCCUCCUACUUACCUGGCUUGCUUUGAGCUGUAUGAAAUCUACUGAUGCCAGGCAGAUUGAUUUUACAGGGGCAGACUGGAAGCAGUUCUGUUAAAACAAAACACCCUCAAAUGGAUGAAGAAACAACUCUAAAUUGUCAUUUGGUUUGUGACUUCUUCAAGGUGAUUUAUGGCAACCAUAUUUCAAGCUGAUCAGCAAUUUUCUUCAUACCAUUUAUGAAAUAUUUUUAAAAAACAAAUAAUUUUUUUCUGACUUCUAUAUUUAUCAAGAUUUCGUGUUUGUGGAACUCCUUGGGCUCUGUUUUAGCAGUAUAUGCUUCUGUAUUUCUGAAGAAAUGUGUCUGACAAACCAACAGAGGCUUACAGUUUAUUUCUUUAGGAAGUCAACAUAAUGGGAGAAAUUUCUACAUCUAUUCUGGUGCUGCAGCUGAUCUCCUCACCGCCCCAGUAUUGGAGGUUUUGUUUCUGAGCAAUAAGGCAGACUAAAACACCUUACAGUAUUACAUGAUUCUGUAAUGUAUCUG